rnacentral:lncRNA from 1 species
CUACAAGGAUUGUCUUGUCAUAUUGCAAUAGCUUAGAGGUCAGCAAACUUUUUCUGUAAAGGGCCAGAUAGUCUUUGCAGGCCGUAUGGUCUUUGUAGUACGGCUGUUCAACCCUGCGGUUAUAGGGCAAGAGCAGCUGUAAGCAAUGACUUAGGCCACUAACUGCAGUGAUGCUACGACCAUUUCCAUAGGUCCAGCUUGAAACAUUCAUUCAUUUCUACAAGGGCAGAUUCAAAAUCUUGUGAGAAUCUGCUGGCGUCUCUUACUUUCUCAACCUGAUUUUUGUACCUAACCAUCGAUAAAUAUCCAUAAGGCAAUGCAAGUGGAAAAGGACUUUAAAAUCUAGCUCUCCAGGGCAGACAGAUGGAGAAAGGGAAGUUCUUGUUAUACCACGGGAGCAGGCUGGACAUCCUAGUGGUUAGGAAUCAAAACUGGGUUUAAUCCUGGCUCUGGCAUAAGCCAUGUGAUCCUGGACAAGUUACUCUCCAGACUCAGUUUCCACAUCUGUAAAAUAGAAAUAAUAAUAACAGCACGUUCCAUCUACUGCCAUUUGGAGACAAAACAUAUAAAGUAUUUCCACAGCACAAUGCCUGGGACAUAAUAAAUAUUCAAUAAAUAAUAAGUGUUCAAUAAAACCUGUGAUUCCCAAACAAGUCUUACAACUCUGUGUUUUCUUAAAAACAAAAGAAAAUCCCCAAAACUAAUUCACUAAAAAUAAGCACAAAGGAAUGACAGCAAGGCUACAGGAAGACAUUUCCAAAAUCGGGUCCCAAGGUGUUAGAAAAAUUGUCCACUCUAGAUCAAACCUCUAGCAAACCCCCAACCUCUCUGUGCUUCCCCCUCAAAAAAAGCCUGAUUCUAUGUCCUUUUAUCAGUUUGUCUUUCUUGUGGGUGCCUGAGCAAUGCUGAGACAUUUUGAGCGUUUUAGACAUUUGCUGAGUUUAAGGCAUUCUUUCUCCCCUCCUACCGGUCUUCUCUCCACACCCCAGCCAUUAACUCCUCCAGGGAGUAUGGUCUGUUUAGCAAGAGGAGAGCACUGGACAGCUUGGGCCCAUCGCAGACCGGAGGUGAAUCAUCUUCGGGGCUCCAUUCUUUUUCAUGUCUGGACGGGGCUAAAACUCUGUUGACAACACAGGCACAAGUCACAACUUGUUAUACCACGUGACACCUUCCGAGCAGCGGAGGCUUCCCUCUACUCUAGGAGUCACACAAAAGGCCAAAGGUGCACGAUUCUCCUCGGGGCUCCUUCCUCUCCGCUCCCUUCCCAACCAAGAAGGACACGCAGAACUUUGCUGGAGAGAUCAAUGUUUCUAGAACACCCUGAAACAAAAGUCCUGAUAUGUGCAAAUAAUACACACCCACAAAAGAAAAUAACCUCUUUGCGCUGACACCCUGCCUCUCCGAAGAGGACGUUUUCUCCCUACUUGGAAUUUCCAUCAGCACCUGGGUUGGUACCAAACUCAGGACGUGGUGGACACGCUCUCUGACUCUGUAUUUCAGGAAGCUGCCAAUCAAUAGAGAUUUAAAGCUUCUGACUUCCGCAUAUCCGAAUACCAGGUAGGAAACAUCUGCUUUGGAGUAAGAGAAGGCCCCAGUACCUGCUUUUUCUCCGGAACCGUGAGAGGGAGCCAUGGGGAGGAGACCAGAAUUUCAGCCUUCCUAUCUCCCUUUACCACAAGGACGCCUUGAGGACCCAAGUCAAAUUGAGAUCUUUCAACCACGGGCUCGGAAACCCGCUUUCUGUGUCCACUUCAACCAAACACGUCUAACAGGCAGGAAUUUAGAGGUGGCCAAGGUAACGAGAACUAGUGGUUUUCACCCUGUUUGGUGACCUUCAUAGGGCUUAUUUAUGCACUUCAAGCGCAUGACCUAAUACAUGUUGGUUUGGCUUCUCUUCUCGUAAUAGCAGCCUGUAAAAAGCUUUUGAGAAUUCCCCGUGUUUUCUCAUUUUGGGUCAAGAAAAUAAAAUCGAUAUCUAAGUAACCUUAAAAAAAUGGCCUGCACAAUCUAAAAAUUUGGAAUGUUUCCACUAGGACUAAGGAUAUCUCUGAAAGCCUCAAAGAUCAUCAAAAUGAAGUCCAACAUUUGCUGUUUUUAAGGUGAGAUAUUUGGUAACGGAGUAUGAGAGAACUGGCUAAGGGGGCUUUUUGACAUAAGUCAAACAAUGACAUUUAAAACUCACGUAAAAGCAAUUACUGUGUGGAAUUUUUCUGUGUUUUUCUCAUUUCUUAAACAGAAGUGUAUAUGUUUUCAGCAUAGCUUCUUGCUGUAAUUUUCUUUCUUGACAAACCCACAUCUUACCAUGAAACCCAAAGUAUGCAUGCUGCAGAAACAAUAAUGGUUGAAACAGACCCGGCUGUCUCUGGCAUGAUUUUUCUUUACAAAAUUAAAAUGUCUUUUGGCUAAUA